UACAGAGGUCUCAAGCGUUGUUCGGAUUCAUUGGGCGUAAAGGGUGCGUAGGCGGCGCGGUAAGUCGGGUGUGAAAUCUCGGAGCUUAACUCCGAAACUGCAUUCGAUACUGCCGGACUAGAGUUCGGAAGAGGCGAGUGGAAUUCCCGGUGUAGCGGUGAAAUGCGCAGAUAUCGGGAGGAACACCUAUGGCGAAGGCAGCUCGCUGGGACGUUACUGACGCUGAGACGCGAAAGCGUGGGGAGCAAACAGG
rnacentral:rRNA from 1 species